GUUGAACGCUGGCGGCAUGCCUUACACAUGCAAGUCGAACGGUAACAGGUCUUCGGAUGCUGACGAGUGGCGAACGGGUGAGUAAUACAUCGGAACGUGCCCGAUCAUGGGGGAUAACGCAGCGAAAGCUGUGCUAAUACCGCAUACGAUCUACGGAUGAAAGCGGGGGAUCGCAAGACCUCGCGCGGACGGAGCGGCCGAUGGCAGAUUAGGUAGUUGGUUGGAUAAAAGCUUACCAAGCCGACGAUCUGUAGCUGGUCUGAGAGGACGACCAGCCACACCGGGACUGAGACACGGCCCAGACUCCUACGGGAGGCAGCAGUGGGGAAUUUUGGACAAUGGGCGCAAGCCUGAUCCAGCCAUGCCGCGUGCAGGAUGAAGGCCUUCGGGUUGUAAACUGCUUUUGUACGGAACGAAAAAGCUCUCUCUAAUACAGGGGGUGAAUGACGGUACCGUAAGGAUAAGCACCGGCUAACUACGUGCCAGCCGCCGCCGUAAAAC
rnacentral:rRNA from 1 species